ACUUUUGCGGAUUUCUUCGGAUUGAAGCAAUUGUGACUGAGCGGCGGACGGGUGAGUAACGCGUGGGUAACCUGCCUCAUACAGGGGGAUAACAGUUGGAAACGGCUGCUAAUACCGCAUAAGCGCACAGUACCGCAUGGUACCGUGUGAAAAACUCCGGUGGUAUGAGAUGGACCCGCGUCUGAUUAGCUAGUUGGUGGGGUAACGGCCUACCAAGGCGACGAUCAGUAGCCGACCUGAGAGGGUGACCGGCCACAUUGGGACUGAGACACGGCCCAAACUCCUACGGGAGGCAGCAGUGGGGAAUAUUGCACAAUGGGGGAAACCCUGAUGCAGCGACGCCGCGUGAGCGAUGAAGUAUUUCGGUAUGUAAAGCUCUAUCAGCAGGGAAGAAAAUGACGGUACCUGACUAAGAAGCCCCGGCUAACUACGUGCCAGCAGCCGCGGUAAUACGUAGGGGGCAAGCGUUAUCCGGAUUUACUGGGUGUAAAGGGAGCGUAGACGGCAUGGCAAGCCAGAUGUGAAAGCCCGGGGCUCAACCCCGGGACUGCAUUUGGAACUGUCAGGCUAGAGUGUCGGAGAGGAAAGCGGAAUUCCUAGUGUAGCGGUGAAAUGCGUAGAUAUUAGGAGGACACCAGUGGCGAAGCGGCUUUCUGGACGAUGACUGA
rnacentral:rRNA from 1 species